rfam:Charadrius vociferus contig64628, whole genome shotgun sequence.
ACCACGGAUUUUUUAAAAUCCAAAAUUAUUUGCCUAAAAAAAUUAU